UACGAAGGGGGCUAGCGUUGUUCGGAAUUACUGGGCGUAAAGCGCACGUAGGCGGAUUGUUAAGUCGGGGGUGAAAUCCUGGAGCUCAACUCCAGAACUGCCUUCGAUACUGGCGAUCUCGAGUUCGGGAGAGGUGAGUGGAACUGCGAGUGUAGAGGUGAAAUUCGUAGAUAUUCGCAAGAACACCAGUGGCGAAGGCGGCUCACUG
rnacentral:rRNA from 1 species